UGAAUUCCAAUUUAAUAGACGACCUGAAC
rnacentral:piRNA from 1 species